AUAUCAAUAAGCGGAGGAAAAGAAAAUAACAAUGAUUUCCCUAGUAACGGCGAGUGAAGAGGAAAGAGCUCAAAGUUGGAACCUGUUUGGCUUAGCUAAACCGGAUUGUAAACUGUAGAAACAUUUUCCAGAUACACUAGACAAAAAAGUCCUUUGGAACAGGGCAUCAUAGAGGGUGAGAAUCCCGUCUUUGGUCUAAGUAGUUGUCUAUUGUGAUAUGUUUUCAAAGAGUCAGGUUGUUUGGGAAUGCAGCCUAAAUUGGGUGGUAAAUCUCACCUAAAGCUAAAUAUUUGCGAGAGACCGAUAGCGAACAAGUACCGUGAGGGAAAGAUGAAAAGAACUUUGAAAAGAGAGUUAAACAGUAUGUGAAAUUGUUAAAAGGGAACCGUUUGGAGCCAGAUUGGCUUGAUUGUAAUCAACCUAGAAUUCGUUUUGGGUGCACUUGCAGUCUAUGCCUGCCAACGACAGUUUGAUUUGGAGGAAAAAAUUAAUAGGAAUGUGGCCUUUCGAGGUGUUAUAGCCUAUUAUCAUACUCUGGAUUGGACUGAGGAACGCAGCGAAUGCCUUUAGGCAAGAUUGCUGGGCGCUUUCGCUAAUAAAUGUUAGAAUUUCUGCUUCGGGUGGUGCUAAUGUUUAAAGGAGGAACCCGUUUAGUAUAUUUUUUAUUCGCUUAGGUUGUUGGCUUAAUGACUCUAAAUGAC
rnacentral:rRNA from 1 species